AUCUGUUUUAUAAUUUAUACUGGACUAAUACAAUUAAAUUUUGCCAUUAAAAAUAUAGUGCAAGUGCAUAGUGAACCACUCUAGAAUUAAAUUCACACCAAAGUCACACAACCUCUCUCUAGAUCUGCGCUCCGUCAGCCCGCAGUGGCGCGCGUGGUAGUCGGGGCCGCCCUCCUCUCCCCUUUCAUAUUUGUUAUUUGCUUCGUUUUCUCUUAUCUUUCUCUUCUCUGUCGUCUUGCUCGGAGCUGUGGGAUGAGCUUCUGAUCGUCUGCGGUAGUUGGCUUCGAUCUGGAGUUUCAGUGAGGUGGGUGGGCUGUGAGUGAACGGAGUCGGCAUUUAGGGUUUGGAGGCGGCGAUUAGAUGUGAUUUUCAGCUUUCUCGAUCUAGUCCUCCCUGUCUACGGUGAGAGCGUGUGAACGUGGUUAAAAGGUUACUCCUUUCAGAUCUGGUGAGCUUGCUGGUCUUCUCUGGGUUUGGAGUGAAGUGGUCCGGUGUCGUCUGAGUUCUGUCAUUGCUCUGUGUGGCGAGUCGCCAGUAGUACCUCAGAGCUCAUUAUGGAGACAUGCCUGUGGUGGUCCAGUUAUUCUGUGGUUGCCAUCCCAUGACAGUGUCAUGUUUGGUCGUCGGUUUGUUUCUCGAAUGGGCCAUCUAUAACCUGUGUUUAGAACUCUCCGGUCACCGUUGCUACUUUGUCUCCUCGUUUCACGCCUCUCUUGUGUUGUUAUAUCGUGUCUGGUCAAUGUGGUCGGCGUUACCAAGGUAUCAUCCAUUGUAAUCUCUUCGACAAGGCUUUGUAGAGCUCCCAUCGGUUCUCGGUGUGAACGCGAGUUAAGUGGAAGAAUUCAUUGGAUAUAAUUCCAUGAGAUGUGAGCACUAAUGGGAGUAAUCUUAAAGUACAUUUCACCUUUUAUAACUUAUAACAUUUAUUCUCUUUUA